GACGAUGUCCUUCGGGACAUGCGGCGAGAUGGAUGCCCGGGACCUUCUCCCGAAGGCGGACUCUUCGCCUGGUCCCCGAGCAUC
rnacentral:sRNA from 1 species